UACGUAGGCAGCGAGCGUUUGUUCGGAGUUACUGGGCGUAAAGGGUGUGUAGGCGGUUGUUUAAGUUUGGUGUGAAAUCUCCCGGCUCAACUGGGAGGGUGCGCCGAAUACUGAAUGACUAGAGUGUGGGAGAGGUGAGUGGAAUUCCUGGUGUAGCGGUGAAAUGCGCAGAUAUCAGGAGGAACACCGGUGGCGAAGGCGGGUCUCUGGACCG
rnacentral:rRNA from 1 species